rnacentral:ncRNA from 1 species
GAGAAUGUAUGGAGGAGGUGUAGAAUAAGUGGGAGUAGCAAUACGUCGGUGAAAUACCACUACUCUUAUCGUUUUUUUACUUAUUCGAUGAAGCGGAAGCGAACCGCAAGGUUCACGUUCUGGAUUUAAGGUCUCUCUUUGCAGACCGAUC